AACGCAACUUGCGCUCUUUGGUAUUCCGAGGAGCAUGCCUGUUUGAGUAUCAUUUAAAUAUCUCAACCCUCAUCUUUUUUUGAAAGUGAGGCUUUGGAGUUUGGAAGCUUGCAGGAGAAAUAAAAAAGGCCUGCUCUUCUGAAAUGCAUGAGUGAAGGAAUUUUCUUGUUGACCGAUCCCUUUCACCGGUGUGAUAAAUGCUUUAUAUCUAUUAUGCCACCUUGUGAAGAUCAGAGAUCAAGGGAAAAUUGCCUUUGCUUCACAAUUGUCUCUCCAGACUGAAGAAGCAUUUCUUCAAAUUUUGACCUUUGAUCUCAAAUCAGGUAGGACUACCCGCUGAACUUAA
rnacentral:misc_RNA from 1 species